UAAAUAGUUUGCUACUGCAACCCAAGGAACAGCAAGACACUUUGGAAGAACCUGAAACCCAAAGAAUUCCAGGACUUUUCACCAGAUUUGGCAAAUUACUUGCAAGUUCCUCCCACGGGGAGAAAUACUCUGGUAAACAUUGCUAUUGAUAGAGGAAAUAAUUUCAGUGGUAGGGAUGUGCUGUUUCAAUGGUAUUUUCAAGGCCCACAGACAGGAUUAAAACCUAAUAUGGUACUCAACCAUUGACUAAUGGAAGAGUUUUGGGGGCUGUGGGGGUUUGACAUUAUCAUCCUGCUUUAGUGUUAGGGUUAAAAUUGUGAAAAUAUUAUGUCAAACGUCGAAUUAAAUAUUCAUUUUUUUUCGUAACCUCGCUGCCGUGAGGAAAAUUCAAAAGAAUAUUUAAACCAAAGUGAGGCCAGUAGGUUUAGUUAACAUUAAUACAAAAUAGGAAUGGCAAGUAAAUCAAUGCUAAAUUAAUGAUAGUGGUUUGAUCUUGCUGUGGUACUUAAUAUAAGGGAGAAGCUCUGAUACCAUUGGAUGACGCGGAAGAACUUUGCGAAUGUUGACACAGCUAUCAUGCGAGAGCUUGAUGGACAAUAUACUUUAAAAUAAUUGGGGAGAUCAUUAAGGCUUGCUUUUACUAAUGGUAAAUCAUUUUGGCCACCCUGAGAACUGAUUGGCAAUGUGCACGCCAAGGGAUGGUACUUUUUGUUGGUUCUUGUCAGAUUGGACACAGUCCGUGAAAUGUUCCUACCACAGGCAUGAAACACUUACUUUCUGUACGUUUUUAGCACUUUACUUACUAACGGCUCUUUCUCCGGAACGAAUCCUACAACUGGUGAAACAUCGAAUUCAACUGGUGAAGGGACGGAGGCCAUGUCUGCUUGAUCCACUUUCCGAAUAAGGAGAGUUGGGUGAGUUCGGUGGGAUUGAGAGGAUUUGAUUAACCCUGGGGGCCACUGGCGUUUUUUUAUUCUCACGUACGAAGAGCACAAAUAAUACCCGCACAUUGAGGUUCCAAACUGGACAAAAAUGCCCUGGAAAAGUUCUCCUUCCUUGUCAUGACAACAGACAAAAAUCUCGCAUCGACCGGCAAGAGGGCAUCUGCAAAAUUAGUGAUGUAGGACGACUCCUUCCUUCACACUAUGCGCUUAUGGGGUCAUUAGAGUCCUUGACGCAACGCAUGAGACACGCGAGGCCGAGGGGAGGGAAAGAGAAUAAGAAAAAGUGAAGUACAUCUGUCCUCAAGGUCUUCACCACCAGGAAGAGCAACCAAUGCUGUGUGUAACAGCGAGGGCUAUCACACAGUGCCCAUUGAAAAAA